AUUGAACGCUGGCGGCAGGCCUAACACAUGCAAGUCGAGCGGAUGAAGGGAGCUUGCUCCUGGAUUCAGCGGCGGACGGGUGAGUAAUGCCUAGGAAUCUGCCUGGUAGUGGGGGAUAACGUCCGGAAACGGGCGCUAAUACCGCAUACGUCCUGAGGGAGAAAGUGGGGGAUCUUCGGACCUCACGCUAUCAGAUGAGCCUAGGUCGGAUUAGCUAGUUGGUGGGGUAAAGGCCUACCAAGGCGACGAUCCGUAACUGGUCUGAGAGGAUGAUCAGUCACACUGGAACUGAGACACGGUCCAGACUCCUACGGGAGGCAGCAGUGGGGAAUAUUGGACAAUGGGCGAAAGCCUGAUCCAGCCAUGCCGCGUGUGUGAAGUAGGUCCUCGGAUUGUAAAGCACUUUAAGUUGGGAGGAAGGGCAGUAAGUUAAUACCUUGCUGUUUUGACGUUACCAACAGAAUAAGCACCGGCUAACUUCGUG
rnacentral:rRNA from 1 species